AUUGAACGCUGGCGGCAUGCCUUACACAUGCAAGUCGAACGGCAGCACGGGUGCUUGCACCUGGUGGCGAGUGGCGAACGGGUGAGUAAUACAUCGGAACGUACCUUAUCGUGGGGGAUAACGCAGCGAAAGCUGUGCUAAUACCGCAUACGCCCUGAGGGGGAAAGCGGGGGAUCGCAAGACCUCGCGCGAUUAGAGCGGCCGAUGCCUGAUUAGCUUGUUGGUGGGGUAAAAGCCCACCAAGGCGACGAUCAGUAGCUGGUCUGAGAGGACGAUCAGCUACACUGGGACUGAGACACGGCCCAGACUCCUACGGGAGGCAGCAGUGGGGAAUUUUGGACAAUGGGGGCAACCCUGAUCCAGCAAUGCCGCGUGAGUGAAGAAGGCCUUCGGGUUGUAAAGCUCCUUUGUCAGGGAAGAAACACCGGCUCUAACACAGUCCGGGAAUGACGGUACCUGAAGAAUAAGCACCGGCUAACUACGUGCCAGCCGCCGCAGUAA
rnacentral:rRNA from 1 species